rnacentral:rRNA from 1 species
UACGUAGGCAGCGAGCGUUGUUCGGAGUUACUGGGCGUAAAGGGUGUGUAGGCGGUUCUUUAAGUUUGGUGUGAAAUCUCCCGGCUCAACCGGGAGGGUGCGCCGAAAACUGAGGGACUAGAGUGCGGGAGAGGAAAGUGGAAUUCCUGGUGUAGCGGUGAAAUGCGUAGAGAUCCGGAGGAACACCAGUGGCGAAGGCGACACGCUGGGCCGUACCUGACGCUAAGGCGCGACAGCAUGGGGAGCAAACGGG